UGCGAUUGGACGGGGUUGUUCUCUUAAGGAUAACCACGUCUUCCCCGGAGUUAGGGAUGCCCAUCACUUUGUUGACAUGUUCUUCAUUGACAGUGAUAGCAUUGCCGGUUUCCAUAUUAAGUCUAUGGUAGGUAAAGUCAUAUUGAGAUAUGAGCCACCCGCAUAGCUCAUAUCUUAGUUCGCGGCAAGCAAAAGUCAGUAGGCCCC
rnacentral:lncRNA from 1 species